AAUUUAGUAGCUUAAAUAAUUAAAUAAGAGUGUAAUUUUGAAGAAAUUAAGGUGGAAUGAAUUUUUUCUAAAUUA
rnacentral:tRNA from 1 species